rnacentral:rRNA from 1 species
UACAGAGGAUGCAAGCGUUAUCCGGAAUGAUUGGGCGUAAAGCGUCUGUAGGUGGCUUUUAAGUCCGCCGUCAAAUCCCAGGCUCAACUCUGGACAGGCGGUGGAAACUACCAAGCUGGAGUACGGUAGGGCAGAGGGAAUUCCGUGGAGCGGUGAAUGCGUAGAGAUCGGAAAGAACACCAACGGCGAAAGCACUCUGCUGGCCGACACUGACACUGAGAGACGAAAGCUAGGGGAGCGAAUGGG